rnacentral:rRNA from 1 species
UACGGAGGGUGCAAGCGUUGUCCGGAAUCACUGGGCGUAAAGGGCGCGUAGGCGGCCCGGUAAGUAGGGGGUGAAAUCCUGCGGCUUAACCGCAGGGCUGCCUUCUAAACUGUCGGGCUCGAGCACGGUAGAGGCAGAUGGAAUUCCCGGUGUAGCGGUGGAAUGCGUAGAGAUCGGGAAGAACAUCAGUGGCGAAGGCGGUCUGCUGGGCCGUUGCUGACGCUGAGGCGCGACAGCGUGAGGAGCAAACAGG